AACGAACGCUAGCGGCAGGCUUAACACAUGCAAGUCGAACGCAUCCUUCGGGGUGAGUGGCAGACGGGUGAGUAACGCGUGGGAACGUGCCCUUCAGUUCGGGAUAACCCAGGGAAACUUGGGCUAAUACCGGAUACGUGCGAGAGCAGAAAGAUUUAUCGCUGAAGGAUCGGCCAGCGUCUGAUUAGCUAGUUGGUGGGGUAAUGGCCCACCAAGGCGACGAUCAGUAGCUGGUGUGAGAGGAUGAUCAGCCACAUGGGGACUGAGACACGGCCCAAACUCAUACGUGCGGCAGCAGUGGGGACUAUUGGACAAUGGGCGCAAGACUGAUCCAGCCAUGCCGCGUGAGUGAUGAAGGCCUUAGGUUUGUAAAGCUCUUUCGUCCGGGACGAUAAUGACGGUACCGGAAGAAGAAGCCCCGGCUAACUUCAUGCCAGCCGCCGCCGUAAGAC
rnacentral:rRNA from 1 species